rnacentral:rRNA from 1 species
AACGAACGCUGGCGGCAGGCUUAACACAUGCAAGUCGAACGCCCCGCAAGGGGAGUGGCAGCCGGGUGCGUAACGCGUGGGAACAUACCCUUUUCUACGGAAUAGCUCUGGGAAACUGGAAUUAAUACCGUAUACGCCCUACGGGGGAAAGAUUUAUCGGGGAAGGAUUGGCCCGCGUUGGAUUAGCUAGUUGGUGGGGUAAAGGCCUACCAAGGCGACGAUCCAUAGCUGGUCUGAGAGGAUGAUCAGCCACAUUGGGACUGAGACACGGCCCAAACUCCUACGGGAGGCAGCAGUGGGGAAUAUUGGACAAUGGGCGCAAGCCUGAUCCAGCCAUGCCGCGUGAGUGAUGAAGGCCUUAGGGUUGUAAAGCUCUUUCACCGAUGAAGAUAAUGACGGUAGUCGGAGAAGAAGCCCCGGCUAACUUCGUG